UAAAACUCUUAUGAUUCAGGGCUCCUCUGUCCAUUCCCUUCACCGUCUUCUUGAAGAACUGGGUUCUUGCCUGUCUCUGAACAAUGUCUUGCAACACUGAUCCCUGCCCUGAAGGGCGCCCGUCGCCGUGCGAGGUGAAAUGUCCACAACCUAUUGUGACCAGCACCAAUGAGGCAUGCGUUGUGUCCUGUGGAGACUCCCGAGUGAUUAUAUACCCACCACCUGUCAUUGUGACCUUCCCAGGACCCAUCCUCAGCACCUGUCCUCAGGAAAGCUUGGUGGGGGCGGCUGUUCCCUGCGAGUCAGGGGUGUCUCAGUCAGCAACGACGGUGCCCUUGACGUCCGAAAUUGGGGGGAACUCGGGGUUCUCUGUGCCUUUGAGGUCCGAAAUUGGGGGGAACUCAGGGUUUUCUGUGCCUUUGAGGUCCGAAAUCAUGGGGAAUUCAGGGUGCUCUGCUGAGAGAUUGUAUCUGAACCGCGAACCCGAGCAACCUUCCACCUACACGUACUCCUUUACUUCCCAAUGGAGACAUCCUUGCAAUAGACCAGGUUGGAAUAGAUAUCGGUCCUUUUACAUGAAGAAGGAAGAGCCAGAGGAGGAGGAAAAACCAAAGGAGUGGCACGUAGGCACAGAGGAGUCCUCGUGAGCAUAGCUUGCACUAGGUUUGAACAUCUACAGCUCUAAAGGCAGCCAGAGCUGUAGGUAUUCAACACCUCCUGACAGCAGGUUUAGGUUUAUCUCUCUCAGGUUACACUUCACUUUAGAUUUAGGCUCUUUCCCCCAAGGGCUUCCCAGAAAUGUGAUUAAACAGUCAUUAACACUGCAAGACUGAUUCAUUGAAUCACAGAAUCAUAGAAAAUGAGGGCUGGAAGGGACCUCAGGAGGUCACAUCUAGUCCAAACCCCUGCUUAAAGCAAGAGCAGCCCCAAAACAGGACCAUCCCCAUCCCCAUCCCCCUGCUCAAAGCAGGACCAUCCCACAUGCAGCACAUACUAGCAGAAAAUCUGGAACAUACAUGACCUAACGCUCGUUGACACUAAUCUGCAUCAUUUGUGGCCAGAUCGGGUGAAAAUUGUCACUUCUGUCUGCACCCUAAGGUCUGUGUGUAUCAUCCUUCAGGGUAACAAAGGCAGGCACUAUAAGAUUUAUGCGUAUGUCUUGAGCCGUAUAAAUGGGCCUUGAUUUCACAGAGCGUUUGGCACGCUGUAUGUUCUCCUUUUCCCCAUGUUUCUGUACAAUUUGUGUCUGGCUUUUAGUUAUGCUACACAAGAUGUGCAGUGGAGAAGCUGUCCAGUCCUCUGCUUACAUUUUGCUUUGUCAAAAGGAAAACUGUUGUGUGAAACACAUAACUAUGAAGUGAGGGAAUGCUUGUAGCUUGAAUGGAAAUAUGUCCUUUAUCUUUUGCAUUCUCCCUUUUUAAAAUGUUAUGCUUUACCUCUCCUUCCCAUUAAAACUUAUGCAGCAAAAUAA